GUACUGAUGAAGAGUCCCAAAUUAGGACGAAACCGCUGUCCAAUAC
rnacentral:hammerhead_ribozyme from 1 species